rnacentral:rRNA from 1 species
UACGUAGGGGGCAAGCGUUGUCCGGAUUUACUGGGCGUAAAGAGCGCGCAGGCGGUCGUUCAAGUCGCGUGUGAAAGCCCCCGGCUCAACUGGGGAGGGUCACGCGAUACUGAUCGACUCGAAGGCAGGAGAGGGUAGUGGAAUUCCCAGUGUAGCGGUGAAAUGCGUAGAUAUCUGGAGGAACAUCGGUGGCGAAGGCGGCAUCCUGGACCGGUAUUGACGCUGAUGCGCGAAAGCCAGGGGAGCAAACGGG